rnacentral:snoRNA from 1 species
AUGCAUCUCUAACAGACCUGGAACAGUUACUAUCUGCUGCUAAGGUUUCCACUACAGGUGCAAGAAAAAGAAGGUCCUCGCGCUUUCUGUCCGUCUGGUCCUGAAAGCCAAGAUUGAAUGGAGGGGAAUACAG